GACGAACGCUGGCGGCGUGCUUAACACAUGCAAGUCGAACGGAAAGGCCCUGCUUUUGUGGGGUGCUCGAGUGGCGAACGGGUGAGUAACACGUGAGUAACCUGCCCUUGACUUUGGGAUAACUUCAGGAAACUGGGGCUAAUACCGGAUAGGAGCUCCUGCUGCAUGGUGGGGGUUGGAAAGUUUCGGCGUUGGGGAUGGACUCGCGGCUUAUCAGCUUGUUGGUGGGGUAGUGGCUUACCAAGGCUUUGACGGGUAGCCGGCCUGAGAGGGUGACCGGCCACAUUGGGACUGAGAUACGGCCCAGACUCCUACGGGAGGCAGCAGUGGGGAAUAUUGCACAAUGGGCGGAAGCCUGAUGCAGCAACGCCGCGUGCGGGAUGACGGCCUUCGGGUUGUAAACCGCUUUCGCCUGUGACGAAGCGUGAGUGACGGUAAUGGGUAAAGAAGCACCGGCUAACUACGUG
rnacentral:rRNA from 1 species